AGUAUACUCAUGGUCUAUACAAACUUUUGAGUCAUUUAAGACUUUUAAUUUUGAUAUACAUAUAUAUACAUAAUGAAUGUUACUUUUACUUUGAUCAAAGGUAUGUAUAUUCAGUCUGAGAAUGAUUUGAUUGUGUGAUUAUGUAGAGAAUGAGCAGGGAAGGAAAGGUAGUGUGUGUGACUGGAGCUUCAUGGCUAGUGAAGCUCUUAUUACAACAUGGUUACCCUGUGAAAGCAUCUGUUCAUGACCCAAAUGAUUCAAAGAAAACACAACACUUGGUUGCAAUAGAUGGCGAGUGAUGUUGCACCCUAAGUUCAUGAUGCCAAAUUUCCACAAGAACUUGUAUUUUUGAGAUCUUUUGUGAAGUUAUACUAUUUUUUUUCUCAUACUUGUCCACACUUUUAUUUUAGGGGAUACAUUCAUUAUUUUUUACUCAUGAUAUAUGAUUUAGUGUUCUAUCUUUACACACAAUUUGUUUUUUUAAUAUAAGUGGCUGAGGUUAAGGAUUA